rnacentral:sRNA from 1 species
GUUUGCACUUGUCGGGGAAGGGUGAGAACCUUCGAUUAAGGUUCGACUCGAGCGAAAGCGAGAGAACGUUGCCAACGGCAACGGCCCGAAGGGUGAGGAGCGAAGCGACGAAUAAUCCUUCCCCCACCUCCA